rnacentral:lncRNA from 1 species
GUGAAGCUCGCACCUAGCCGGCGCCAGCGCGCACGCACGCACGCACGCACGCACGCACGCACAUCGGCACGCACGCACAUCGGCACGCACGCACGUCUGCGGUUGGCUGGAUGAGUCCGCAGUGCGGCACCCGUUGUCGUGCAGAAGAAAAAGCCCCCUGACGGCAGAGUGCGCUCGAGGCCCCGAGGCCGAGGGGAGGAUGGAGGGAAGGGUGAAAAUAGGUCACCCGGGUUUGUCUUCAUCAGAUUGUACCGGGUUGGCCAGAAGUUAGAAGUCUUUGUUUCUGCAGUAUGCUGUAGUCACCUACUACUCCAAAGGUGUGUAAAUAUUAGUUAUUUUUGGUUUUUGUUAAACAAUGUGUUGUAGUUAGGGAUAUACAUUUACAUGCUCUAGCAGAUUUAAUCCCAGGAAAAUGAACAUGCCUAUAAUCCUAGCACUUGGGAGGUGGGAACAAGAGGAUUGGAGUUCAGGCCCAGCCUCGGCCUUCAGGGAGUGGGAGGCUGUGCUUGUUGGGUUUUGUCUGCUUGACACAAUCCUAGACAUCUGGGAAGAGAUUUUAAUUGAAGAAACGCCCCCAUAAGAUUGGCCUGUGAGCAAAACUGUGGGUAUCGUCUUGAUUUAUUGACGUGAACGGGCCCAUCUCACUGUGGGUGCUGCCUUCCUUGGGCUGCUGGUCCUGGGUUCUUUAAGAAAGCAGGCUGAGCAAGCCACAGAGAGCAAGCCAGUAAGCAGCUCUUCUCAUGGUGUCUGCUUCAGUUUCUGCCUACAGGUUCAUGCCUUGAAUUGCUGUUCUGACUUUGCUUCAGUGAUAGAGUGUGACUUGAGAAUUAUAAACCAAAAUAAACCCUCUGCUCCCCAAGUUGCUUUUGGUCAUUGUCUUAGCUAUUUUUCUAUUGCUGAGAUAAAACACCACGACCAAGCUCUCCGAGGUCAUGAAGUUCUGACCAGUCAGCCCAAAGAAUCUUCAACAGGCGCAGCUUUCCCCAGGGACUCUGCCCACAGCCUUCUAGAUAUAAACGAGGCAGCAAACCCAGAGGGGUCUUGACCUUGGUUGUUGGUCAUGGUCCGAAUAGGCAAUUUUCUCUCUCUCUCUCUCUGUGUGUGUGUGUGUGUGUGUGUGUGUGUGUGUGUGUGUGUGUGUGUUGCAGGUUUAAGUAAACCAUUAAGUUGAAUGAUAGUGUUGGGAACCAGGGUUGGGAGAAGAGGGGGACCCCGUGGAUUGAAAUGAAAAUGUUGUCUGUUUAUUUUGUUUUGCUUUUUUUUUUUCUCUUCAAG